rnacentral:rRNA from 1 species
GAGGUUAAGCGACUAAGCGUACACGGUGGAUGCCCUGGCAGUCAGAGGCGAUGAAGGACGUGCUAAUCUGCGAUAAGCGUCGGUAAGGUGAUAUGAACCGUUAUAACCGGCGAUUUCCGAAUGGGGAAACCCAGUGUGUUUCGACACACUAUCAUUAACUGAAUCCAUAGGUUAAUGAGGCGAACCGGGGGAACUGAAACAUCUAAGUACCCCGAGGAAAAGAAAUCAACCGAGAUUCCCCCAGUAGCGGCGAGCGAACGGGGAGUAGCCCAGAGCCUGAAUCAGUGUGUGUGUUAGUGGAAGCGUCUGGAAAGGCGCGCGAUACAGGGUGACAGCCCCGUACACAAAAAUGCACAUGCUGUGAGCUCGAUGAGUAGGGCGGGACACGUGGUAUCCUGUCUGAAUAUGGGGGGACCAUCCUCCAAGGCUAAAUACUCCUGACUGACCGAUAGUGAACCAGUACCGUGAGGGAAAGGCGAAAAGAACCCCGGCGAGGGGAGUGAAAAAGAACCUGAAACCGUGUACGUACAAGCAGUGGGAGCACGCUUCGGCGUGUGACUGCGUACCUUUUGUAUAAUGGGUCAGCGACUUAUAUUCUGUAGCAAGGUUAACCGAAUAGGGGAGCCGAAGGGAAACCGAGUCUUAACUGGGCGUUAAGUUGCAGGGUAUAGACCCGAAACCCGGUGAUCUAGCCAUGGGCAGGUUGAAGGUUGGGUAACACUAACUGGAGGACCGAACCGACUAAUGUUGAAAAAUUAGCGGAUGACUUGUGGCUGGGGGUGAAAGGCCAAUCAAACCGGGAGAUAGCUGGUUCUCCCCGAAAGCUAUUUAGGUAGCGCCUCGUGAAUUCAUCUCCGGGGGUAGAGCACUGUUUCGGCAAGGGGGUCAUCCCGACUUACCAACCCGAUGCAAACUGCGAAUACCGGAGAAUGUUAUCACGGGAGACACACGGCGGGUGCUAACGUCCGUCGUGAAGAGGGAAACAACCCAGACCGCCAGCUAAGGUCCCAAAGUCAUGGUUAAGUGGGAAACGAUGUGGGAAGGCCCAGACAGCCAGGAUGUUGGCUUAGAAGCAGCCAUCAUUUAAAGAAAGCGUAAUAGCUCACUGGUCGAGUCGGCCUGCGCGGAAGAUGUAACGGGGCUAAACCAUG